UUCGGCGGCUAUAGCGAGAGGGAAACGCCCGGUCACAUUCCGAACCCGGGAGCUAAGACUCUCUGCGCCGAUGGUACUGCAGGGGGGACCCUGUGGGAGAGGAGGACACCGCCGGAC
rnacentral:rRNA from 1 species